UAACCUCUGCAGGCUGGCCGGCCCCCAGGCUGGGCUGGGCAAGAAUCUCUUCAGAGGCUCACCCUCAAGCAUGACUAGGAGC
rnacentral:pre_miRNA from 1 species